AUGAACGCUUAUAAUAUGCUUUACACAUGCAAGUCGAACGCAAAAAAUUUUAUUUUUUGAGUGGCGCACGGGUGAGUAAAACGUCUUUAGAUUGCCUUUAAGUUUGGGUAUGUUUUAAUUUAUUAAAUAAAUCCCAGAUAAUAUAAAAAUGCUUUCAAGAAAGCAUUAAAAAAAGAAAAAUUUCGCUUAAAGAUAUCUGCACGGAGUAUUAAGUUGUUGGUAAGGUAAAAGCUUACCAAGCUGAUGAUGCUUAGUUGGUCUGAGAGGACGAACAACCACAUUGGGACUGAGACAAGGCCCUAACUUAUUGAAGGCUGCAGUGGGGAAUUUUGGACAAUGGGGGAAACCCUGAUCCAGCAAGAUUAUAUGGAUGAUCUUGAAUACUGUAAUAAUAAGUAGGUCGUAAAAUUCUAACGCCGAAAUGGAUGAUGACUAUUUCGGAAAAGUAGCUCCGGCUAACCUCGU
rnacentral:rRNA from 1 species